rnacentral:rRNA from 1 species
UACGUAGGGUGCGAGCGUUGCCCGGAUUUAUUGGGCGUAAAGGGCGCGCAGGCGGCCACGCGCGUCCGUUGUGAAAUCGCUCGGCUCAACUGGGCGAGGUCAGCGGAUACGGCGUGGCUGGAGCAAGCUAGGGGGCAAUGGAAUUCCCGGUGUAGUGGUGGAAUGCGCAGAUAUCAGGAGGAACACCAAUGGCGAAGGCAGCACUCUGGGACGUGACUGACGCUGAGACGCGAAAGCGUGGGGAGCAAACAGG